rnacentral:rRNA from 1 species
UCCUACGGGAGGCAGCAGUAGGGAAUUUUCGUCAAUGGGGGGAACCCUGAACGAGCAAUGCCGCGUGAGUGAGGAAGGUCUUCGGAUCGUAAAGCUCUGUUGUAAGAGAAAAACGACAUUCAUAGGGAAUGAUGAGUGAGUGAUGGUAUCUUACCAGAAAGUCACGGCUAACUACGUGCCAGCAGCCGCGGUAAUACGUAGGUGGCGAGCGUUAUCCGGAAUGAUUGGGCGUAAAGGGUGCGUAGGUGGCAGAUCAAGUCUGGAGUAAAAGGUAUGGGCUCAACCCGUACUGGCUCUGGAAACUGAUCAGCUAGAGAACAGAAGAGGACGGCGGAACUCCAUGUGUAGCGGUAAAAUGCGUAGAUAUAUGGAAGAACACCGGUGGCGAAGGCGGCCGUCUGGUCUGGAUUCUGACACUGAAGCACGAAAGCGUGGGGAGCAAAUAGGAUUAGAUACCCUAGUAGUCCACGCCGUAAACGAUGAGAACUAGGUGUUGGGGGAAUAACUCAGUGCCGCAGUUAACGCAGUAAGUUCUCCGCCUGGGGAGUAUGCACGCAAGUGUGAAACUCAAAGGAAUUGACGGGGGCCCGCACAAGCGGUGGAGUAUGUGGUUUAAUUCGAAGCAACGCGAAGAACCUUACCAGGCCUUGACAUCCCUUGCAGAGGUAUAGAGAUAUAUCCGAGGUUACCAAGGAGACAGGUGGUGCAUGGUUGUCGUCAGCUCGUGUCGUGAGAUGUUGGGUUAAGUCCCGCAACGAGCGCAACCCUUGUGAUAUGUUACUAACAUUGAGUUGAGGACUCAUAUCAGACUGCCGGUGAUAAACCGGAGGAAGGUGGGGAUGACGUCAAAUCAUCAUGCCCCUUAUGGCCUGGGCUACACACGUACUACAAUGGCGUCUACAAAGAGCGGCAAGCCUGUGAAGGCAAGCGAAUCUCAUAAAGGGCGUCUCAGUUCGGAUUGAAGUCUGCAACCCGACUUCAUGAAGCUGGAAUCGCUAGUAAUCGCGAAUCAGCAUGUCGCGGUGAAUACGUUCUCGGGCCUUGUACACACCGCCCGUCAAACCAUGGGAGUUGGUAAUGCCCGAAGCCGGUGGCAUAACCCUUCGGGGAGUGAGCCGUCGAAGGCAGGACCGAUGACUGGGGUUAAGUCGUAACAAGGUAUCCCUACGGGAACGUGGGGAUG